rnacentral:rRNA from 1 species
UACAGAGGUCUCGAGCGUUAGGCGGAAUCACUGGGCUUAAAGCGUGUGUAGGCGGAUCGGUAAGUACCUUGUGAAAUCCCACGGCUCAACCGUGGAACUGCUUGGUAUACUGCUUUUCUUGAGCCACUUAGGGGCUACCGGAACAAAUGGUGGAGCGGUGAAAUGCGUAGAUAUCAUUUGGAACGCCAAUGGUGAAAACAGGUAGCUGGGAGUGUGCUGACGCUGAGACACGAAAGCCAGGGAGCGAACGGG